GGGAAUCUUGCACAAUGGGGGCAACCCUGAUGCAGCGACGCCGCGUGAGCGAUGAAGCCCUUCGGGGCGUAAAGCUCUUUCGACCGGAACGAUAAUGACGGUACCGGGAGAAGAAGCUGCGGCUAACUACGUGCCAGCAGCCGCGGUACUACGUAGGGUGCAAGCGUCAAUCGGAAUUACUGGGCGUAAAGCGUGCGCAGGCGGUUUUGUAAGACAGAGGUGAAAUCCCCGGGCUCAACCUGGGAACUGCCUUUGUGACUGCAAAGCUGGAGUGCAGCAGAGGGUGAUGGAAUUCCUCGUGUAGCAGUGAAAUGCGUAGAUAUGCGGAGGAACACCGAUGGCGAAGGAAAUCCCCUGGGCCUGCACUGACGCUCAUGCACGAAAGCGUGGGGAGCAAACA
rnacentral:rRNA from 1 species